CUUGAGGACAAGCAAUGGUUCAAGUUUAGGGGAGUUUGAUACACCUAAAAAGAUGCUAUUUAUUUAGUUAAUUUACUAUUAUAUUUUAUAUGUUUUUAUUUCGAUUCCGAAGUUUUACUAUAUAAAUAGUUACUUAUUUCUAAUAUUUUAAAUAAACAGAUAAAAAGUGUACGAGUUGAAGAAAGGAACGAAAAUGGACUAAAAAGGAGCAAGAAUGGACAAAAUGGGCCACACAAGUGCAGCCAAGCCACACAAGUGCAGCCAAAGCCACGUGCAGCCUAGCCCAGCAGCCAAACAUGCCNNNNNNNNNNNNNNNNNNNNNNNNNNNNCCAAUCUGUUCCAAGUGGCGGUCGCCACUUUCUUCAUCCUGGUCGUCCAAAUAAUUUCAAUCGUGUGGCUUUCGCCACACAUCUUUAAGUCCCACAUGGCCAUCCAUUUGAUCACACGGCCAGGCGCGAUUUUAACUCAAGUCCCACAUCGGUUAUUUUUGUUGUUUUGUUCCCCUAGCUACUAGUAUAAAUAUGUGUCUUUUCUUACACUUUAGACACACACCAACUUGUAACAGUUGAGGAAGAGAAUUGAGACUAGAUUUAUU
rnacentral:lncRNA from 1 species